AAAAAGGGUUUCUGACUUGAGUGGCACACAUAGGGCAGCUCACUUGCUCUAUGUGUAGAAUCAACAUCAAGAGAUUUCAGAAGCAUGAUUUAUUGGCAGUAGGGCAGCUGGUGGUCCUGGAGAUCCUCCCACCCAA